rnacentral:rRNA from 1 species
AUUGAACGCUGGCGGCAUGCCUUACACAUGCAAGUCGAACGGUAACGGGCCUUCGGGUGCCGACGAGUGGCGAACGGGUGAGUAAUACAUCGGAACGUGCCCGAUCGUGGGGGAUAACGAGGCGAAAGCUUUGCUAAUACCGCAUACGAUCUACGGAUGAAAGCAGGGGACCGCAAGGCCUUGCGCGGACGGAGCGGCCGAUGGCAGAUUAGGUAGUUGGUGGGAUAAAAGCUUACCAAGCCGACGAUCUGUAGCUGGUCUGAGAGGAUGAUCAGCCACACUGGGACUGAGACACGGCCCAGACUCCUACGGGAGGCAGCAGUGGGGAAUUUUGGACAAUGGGCGCAAGCCUGAUCCAGCCAUGCCGCGUGCAGGAUGAAGGCCUUCGGGUUGUAAACUGCUUCUGUACGGAACGAAAAGCCUUCUUUUAAUACAGGAGGGUCAUGACGGUACCGGAAGAAUAAGCACCGGCUAACUACGUG